GAUGAAGAACGCAGCGAAAUGCGAUAAGUAAUGUGAAUUGCAGAAUUCAGUGAAUCAUCGAAUCUUUGAACGCACAUUGCGCCCGCCAGUAUUCUGGCGGGCAUGCCUGUUCGAGCGUCAUUUCAACCAUCAAGCCCCCGGCUUGUGUUGGGGACCUGCGGCUGCCGCAGGCCCUGAAAAGCAGUGGCGGGCUCGCUGUCACACCGAGCGUAGUAGCAUACAUCUCGCUCUGGGCGUGCUGCGGGUUCCGGCCGUUAAACCACCUUCAUAUCCCGAGGUUGACCUCGGAUCAGGUAGGAAGACCCGCUGAACUUAAGCAUAUCAAUAAGCGGAGGA
rnacentral:misc_RNA from 1 species